rnacentral:lncRNA from 1 species
GCCACCAAGUGCUUCAGAUCAUCACAUGAAAUGAGAGCGGCACACACCCCGCCACGCGUCUCUUGCCCGGGACUCAGAAACCUCCAUGGACAGGCUGUGACCAAGGGUCAGCUCCCAAGUGGAAAAUGAUUGAGACUCCCAGAAAUCAGCCACAGCCACCGAGCCGCAGGUGUUAAGAGAGAGGCUUUCAGGGCAGCACACAACCGUCUGUGUUGAAGUACCAUUGAAACAAGGGCCGGCACAGCACUGGUGGAACUGGCUUCUUCCCAGUGCUCCUUCUACAAGUUUAAAGGUGAAACCCCAAGUGUGGAUGUCAUCUGGUGGAAAAUCAAUGAAUGGCAGUGACCAACAGUUGUUCUCCAGGACCUGGGUUCUCCUUGUGAGGUUCAUUCUCUCUUCUCUCCUGUUAGGCGCUAUGCUAAGUAGUAGGCAAAAUGUCCGAUGAUCUCCUGUCCCAGAGUUAUACUCCAAAGAAUCCUCCCUCUUCAGUGCGGGCAGGACUUGUGACUUGCUUCUAGCUAACAGAAUGUGGCAACAGUGAUGAAAUGUCACUCCUGUGAUUAUGCAAUGGCAUGUCAUAAAAUACCAUCUUCCCAGAAUGCCUAAGAGUGAGAGAUGCUCUUCUGCUGACCCUGAAGAAGUGCCCAUGGAGAUAGCUACAGGGUAGGGGACUACAGGUCUCCUAGGGAGCUGCAAGUCUGAAUAUAUAAAGGGACAAUGGCCAGAUCAUCUGUAAAAAUAGAACUCUAACCAGCAACCUGCAGCAGCUAGCCCAGGAAACCCACCGAUUAUCUGCAGGAGCCAGCCCAGGAAGCCAGUCUGCUAUUUACAAGUCAAUCUCAUACAGGAAGUCAGACCACCAAAUCUAACAACUGGCCCAAGGAGCCAAACAAUAACUCCUGUUACAAUCAGUCUCACACUGCCAGGACUUGAUAUAACAGACAGCUUCCCUCAUUUUAUUGCUAAUUUCCAAUUAAGGACAAACCAGAGAGAACUAAAUAUGCACUUUCAACCAACCACAUGGGACAACCUUCUUCCCUUAGCCCACCUACAGAUUCCUCAUCACAACAGCCUCUAUCAAGGCACACCUGAAGCCUUCCCUUUCUUCCUGGAUAAGGUUUUCCAACUCCUCUGCCUGGGAGUCAGAAUUAGCAGCAUCUUGGACAGUAGUAACUUCGACAAAAGCCAUUUCAGUCUAGUAUCGGGGACAGACUGGAGCAGGCUGAAGAGCAAAUGGUAGAUGAGGAAGCCAAGACAAAUAACAUAGACAAGAGUAACACAAUCUAAGAAUUAUAGGUGAUCUAGACCAGCAGUGAACAUUUUUGUAAACUGCCGAAUAGUAUAUUUUAGCCUUUGUGAGCCAGAUGAUUUUAUUUUAUUUUACUGAAAUGGAGUCUCACUCUGUCACCCAGGCUGGAGUGCAGUGGCACAAUUUUGGCUCACUGCAACCUCCACCUCCCAGGUUCAAGCGGUUCUCCUGCCUCAGCCUCCUGAGUAGCUGGGACUACAAGUGCACACCACCACACCUGGCUAGUUUUUUGUAUUUUUAGUAGAGAUAGGUUUCGCCAUGUUGGCCAGGCUGGUCUUGAACUCCUGGACUCAAGUGAUCUGCCUGCCUCAGCCUCCCAAAGUGCUGGGAUUACAGGCAUGAGCCACCGCUCCCGGCCCCAGAUGAUUUUUUAAAUGUAGGUUUAAUUAUUAUUAAUGUAUGGUGAAGCCAACAAGCCAUUGAAUGAGAUGAUUGCCAUUGAAAAGAUAGUUUGUUACAGUUCCCAAGAGGAGGGGCACAUCAUGCAAUUGAGGGAGGUCACACUGUGAAGUAUCAGGGUUGGUCAGGAGGCCGAAGAAGUGAAGGGAAAACGUGGGCAGGAGCCUCUGUGUGUGUGUGUGUGGUUUCAUAGGAAUGGGCAAGUUAAGGUAAACAGGCUUAGGACAAGCUGGUUUGAGUAAUUUCAGUGGGCUCUGGGGCACAGUGACUAUCCCUAGUUGUCUGGUGCCUGGCCCUGGGGUGAUUAGGGCAGGUGGAUAGUGGUCCAAGUCUGAGAGCCCAACAAAGGAGGUGGUUGGGUAUGGGUUUCAGAUGGGUUGAUUUGCAUUAGAAAGCAGCAUUCCUGGACAGAGUUGUUUGCUAUCUCUAGGAAUUAGCUAACUCUGAGGGGGCAGUCCCUUCCAGUGUCCGCAGAGCCCCAUAUGUCAAAGCCUCAGAAUAAAAAAAAGAAAAACAUGCUUAAUACAGAUGUUCUCUGUUGCAGCUACUUAACUCUGCUGUUGAAGUAUGAAAGCAGCCAUAGACAAUAUAUAAAUGAAUGGCUAUGGCUGGGCCCCAGUAAAAUUUUAUUGACAAAAACAGGUGGCAGGCCAGGUUUUUCAUGCAGGCUGCAGUUGCUGACCCGUGUGUAGAUGAAGGAAUCAUUACAAUUAGAACCCGUGCAGUAAUCAAAGGCUUCCCUAAAGAAAAUGUUUUAGAGCUGAAAAAGAAACCCUUAGAUAAAUCAAAAAUUUAACUCUGUUGUACACCAAAUCAAUGAAGAAGUAUUCAUACUCCAACACAUACAGGGAAAUAGCUUAAAGUAGGAAAAUGAAGCAAAUUCUUAAAGUAUGCAAAAUUAGUGUCUAUAAUAAUGAGAAAAGACAAUCAGGCUGAACCCAAACUUGUCACUGAGAUUAAACAUUAGAAAGUAAUAAAGCAGUGUUUAUUGAGUUUUGAAGGGAAAUGGUAUCAGUUAUCUAUUGCUGUGUAACAAACUACCCCUAAACUUAGUGGCUUAAAACAACAAUUACUUCUUUUUCAUCAUUAUAUAGGUUGGCUGGGCUCAGCUGGUGGUUCUUCUGCAUCCUGUGUUAUCUGUUGGAGUCACUGACAUGGCUGCAUUCAGCUAGAAACUCAGCUAGGGUUGGAUCAUCCAAGAUGGCUAGAGCCUCAACUAGGGUAAUCAGAUGGCAGAAAGCUGUCUAGGAUUCUCUCUCCCUACUUGGUAUCUUAUCAUGCAGCAGCCUUUCCCAAGAUUAUUUACAUCGUUUUGGAUCCUAUGAUGAGAAAAAUUGGGGUAUCCAAAGCUUUAAAGUCCCAAGGCAAAAAAGUCUCACAGCAUCAUUUUUGCCAUAUUCUCUCAGCCAAAGCAAUUCAGAAAAUGAGACUAGAUUCAAAUAGAGGGGAAAUAAACCAACCUCUUCAUGAGAAAAGUGAUAGAUGUCCAUAUACCAGGAUGGGAAAAACUGUCAGGGGCCAUUUUUGUAGAUAAUCUACCACAGAAAACAAAAUUCCAUACACAUCUGUGUAUAAAGAGAUAAGAAAAACUUUUUCAGAAACACGUAUGCUUAGAAAACUUAUGAUCUUUAUGUUCUUCUUGAAAAAAGUAUUUUGUUAUGUUCUUUCUAUUCUGAUGAAAAGGUAUAUCAUUAAGAAUGGCAAAGACAAGAUAUGAAAGACGGGGGAGUAGAUAUUUAAACAAGUUUAAAUAAAUAAUUAAAUCUAAGUAAUUGUUAUAAAUAGAAUUGAAAUUUGUAGAUACAAAAUAAUUCUUGAAAGACAACUCAUAUAGUCUAAAAAUAAUGAUUCACUAAUCCAAAUAUCUGUUUUAAAGUUUAGAGUGUAUAAACAAAUACUAGAGAAAGAAGAGGGAGGCUGGGCAUAGGCUGUGAGUAGGGAACUGGGAAGCAUGAUAAAUUCCAUGUUGACACAGGCAGAGCCAUGUAUUUUUUAUCCUGGUAGUUAAGGUAGGCAGUUUUUAGGUAAAUUAAAGAUAACCGGUACUCUAUUUUCCACCCCCUAAAACUGCUCCCAUCUCAAUAAAGGGACCCACAUUUCAGCCAGGCACUCAGCAGAAAGCCUAAAUCCAUGUGUGAUCUCUCUUUUCCUCCCCUUUAUGGGACUUCUGCAACGUGCCCUGAAGCCUUAUCCUCUGAAACAUUUGCAGGAAAGGUUUAGUGUAUGUCUUAGUCUGUUUUGUGUUGCUAUAACAGAAUACCUGAGAUUGGGUAAUUUAUAAUGAACAGAAAUUUAUUUCUUACAGCUCUGGAGGCUGAGAAGUCCAAGGUCAAGGGGCUGGGAUCUGGCAAGGGCCUUCUUGCUGCAUCAUCACAUGGCAGAAGGUGGAAGGGCAAAAGAGAACAAGAUGGGGCAAACUCACCCUUUUAUAAAGGCCUCUAUCCCGCCUUGAGCCCUCAUGGCCUAAUUAUCUCUUAAAGGUCCCACCUUUAAUACUGUUGCAGUAGCAAUCAAAUGUCAACAUGAGUUUUGGAGAGGACAAACAUUCAAACCAUAACAAAGUGUAAACACAUACCCACAUGCAUAUAUACAUGCACGGACACAUUUUUUUUAACACCACUAUCUCAUUAUAACUUCUUAUUUUAAACAUUCUCAAAGGAGGCAAUAUAUUUUCAGCUAAUGUAAGCAAAUAUUUGGUACUUUAAGUCACCCUACAAGUUUAAUAAAUUUAUUGAUAGCUAAAUUCAACUAAAGUAUAAUCCAAAUUGUAUUCAAAUGUACUACAGGAGGGAUAUGUAAAAUAGCUUGCCCAGUGGGUCCUACCUUCAAAGCUUACCUUGAAUUCACCCACUCCAUUCCAUCUCUAACCCUCUACCUAAUCAAUCUACCAUCCCUUGCCUGGGGACUGCAAGUCUACCUCUUUGGUAGACUUCUCCUUCUACCAUUCAUUGCCCAUCUCCUCCCUGCUAUCCUUUCUCCCUACAGCCUUCUUUGUGGCUACUUUUAAACAUACAAAGCUGAUUGAGCUGUUCCUUGCUGGAACCCUCCCUGAGGACUCUCCCUAAGCCUCUAGCUGCAGCCCCAGUGGGCUUCUUCAUAUUCCUUGACACCCACCUGAAGGCCUUGUCUUUGGCUGUUCCUUCUGCCUAGACUGGAAUAUUUCUCAGGUACUCAUCUGUCUGCAUCCUUGUUGUCAUCUAUCUCAGCUUAAGCAUAACCUUCUCAGGGAGGUCUUCUCUGAUAGCCCAAAUUAAGUCAGCCCCCAGCCACUCUUCCUCACACUAUUCUGUUUGUUUUAUUCAUGGUAUGCAUCAUGCCCUGCCUAUCUUCAUAUUUAAUUGUUCACGUGUUUAUUGUCUGCCCCCCGUUGGAUGAUAAGUACAUUGAAGGAAAGAUUUGAUCUGUUUCAUCACAUAUCCACAGUACCAAGGACAGUGCCUUGCCACCCCUUAGGUAAUCAAAAGUUCUAUAUUUAAAAAAGAAAUGACUCCAGGCUCAGUGGCUCACACCUGUAAUCUCAGCACUUUGGGAGGCCGAGAUGGGUGGAUCAUGAGGUCAAGAGAUUGAGACUAGCCUGGCCAACAUGGUGAAACCCCGACUCUAUUAAAAAUACAAAAAUUAGCUGGGCAUGGUGGUGCGAACCUGUACUCCCAGCUAUUCGAGAGGCUGAGGCAG